AAGCCAUUACAAUUACCAGGAUGCCACCCAGGACACAAACACUUUGGUGGAAAGCUGCUGCCAUCCCAUGUGACAAAGCAGCAUUGUGGCAUCUCUACAAGAAAUUCGAUGACAACACUUGAGGCACGUGGAGCCGGGCUCUGUGUUAUUAACUUCCAGUUUCCAAGAUGAUGUUUUUGUAUGCAGUGCUGCUGCUCUGCACAUUUGUAGGUGCACUAUCCUUCUGACCCUAUGCAGCCAGGUUCCAUCUAGUUUUUAACUCCUCUCAACUGCAGUGGCCAAAAUAAGAACAAGUUUGUGCUCUGGUAUUGUGCCUGGCGGACCAUGCACAAGCUCCACUACAAUCUGGACCUUCACUUCCUGAUCACAGGCCACACCAAGUUUGCCCCCGACUGGUGCUUCAGCCUCAUCAAGCAGUGCAUCAGAAAGACCAGAGUGAACAUUUUGUCUGAGAUUGAUGGUGUUGUGAAAGACAGCACUGUGACAGGGGUCACCAUCCAACAGCUGGUUGGACUGGAAGAUGGUACAGUGCUGGUAGAAAGCUAUGGCUGGCAACAACACCUGACUCCGUACUUCAGGCCGCUGCCACAGUUCAAGCAGUACCAGCA